GACGAACGCUGGCGGCGUGCUUAACACAUGCAAGUCGAGCGGAGCGGCGCACGGGUGAGUAACGCGUGAGUAACUGCCCCCAUCUUUGGGAUAACAGUUGGCAACGGCUGCUAAUACUGGAUAGUGGGGGAUGACUCGCGUCCUAUCAGCUUGUUGGUGGGGUAGUGGCGUACCAAGGCGACGCCGGGUAGCCGGCCUGAGAGGGCGACCUGCCACAUUGGGCUGAGAUACGGCCCAAACUCCUACGGGAGGCAGGAGUGGGGAGUAUUGCACAAUGGCGCAACCCCUGAUGCAGCAACGCCGCGUGCGGGAUGACGGCCUUCGGGUUGUAAACCGCUUUCAGCCAUGACGCGGUAGUGGCAGAAGAAGCACCGGCUAACUACGUGCCAGCAGCCGCGGUAAUAC
rnacentral:rRNA from 1 species